CCUACGGGUGGCAGCAGUGGGGAAUCUUGCACAAUGGGCGAAAGCCUGAUGCAGCAACGCCGCGUGAGCGAUGAAGGCCUUCGGGUCGUAAAGCUCUGUCCUCAAGGACGAUAAUUACGGUACUUGAGGAGGAAGCCCCGGCUAACUACGUGUCAGCAGCCGCGGUAAUACGUAGGGGGCUAGCGUUAUCCGGAAUUACUGGGCGGAAAGGGGGCGUUGGGGGUUUCUUAAGUCAGAGUUGAAAGGGUACGGCUCAACCGUAGUAAGCCUUUGAAACUGGGGAACUUGAGUGCAGGAGAGGAGAGUGGAAUUCCUAGUGUAGCGGUGAAAUGCGUAGAUAUUAGGAGGAACACCAGUGGCGAAGGCGGCUCUCUGGACUGUAACUGACACUGAGGCACGAAAGCGAGGGGAGCAAACGGGAUUAGAUACCCUUGUAGUC
rnacentral:rRNA from 1 species